rnacentral:rRNA from 1 species
AAUGGACGCAAGUCUGAUCCAGCCAUGCCGCGUGGUGGAUGACGGCCUCUGGGUUGUAAACACCUUUUACGUAGGGAUAAUGUGGUUCUAUAGGAACCUUGCAGGUACUACAUGAAUAAGCACCGGCUAACUACGUGCCAGCAGCCGCGGUAAUACGUAGGGUGCAAGCGUUGUCCGGAUUUAUUGGGUUUAAAGGGUGCGCAGGCGGCUUAUUAAGUUAGUGGUGAAAUCACCCGGCUCAACCGGUACCCGCCAUUGAUACUGGUAAGCUUGAGUAUGUUCGAGGAGAUUGGAACGUGUAGUGUAGCGGUGAAAUGCAUAGAUAUUACGCAGAACACCAAUUGCGAAGGCAGAUCUCUGGGACAUAACUGACGCUGAGGCACGAAAGCGUGGGGAGCGAACAGGAUU